CAUUUAUUGGGACUGGGUCUCAUUAAGGAUUCCCCUGCUUUCUUCUCCCCAGGUAGAUGGGCGAGAACUAUAAGAAGGCUCUAUGCAGCACAUGCAUUGCUUCUUUUGUUCAGGAGAAAUCAACCCCUAUGCAGGACAGCUGGUUACCUCCGUAAAGAAAGAACUCUUUGCCACGAUUCAAACUUUUCGUGACUCUUAGUUUUCCCUUCCACAACUCAAGCCUUCACCUCUCAGGAAAGGUCACUCCCAUGUUCCUUUUAGUGAGGAUUCAGAGGAAUCAGGAGCCAGAAACUUAGAGGGUUAAACUAUCCACUUAAUUGUGGUGGAUUCACCUAAACAAGGACUCCUUGUCCGCCCUAUCCUCUGCAGUGGUUUAUUUAGCUGAGGCUUCAGCUGAAACAAUUAAGAGGUUGAGAGGCCGCAGCCCUGAUUUAAUUCGGCGAGAAGGGCGGGGUGGUUAAAGACCUGAGGCCAGGUGAUGCAGCUUCUGAAAAUUAAAGCUUGCAGUAUUCUCUUUUCAGGAGAUCUUUUUGGGCCUGAACUGGGAAGCAUCCUGGACAGGUCAUCAAAAAAAAAAACCCCCCCAAGAUGUUUUUUUUUCCGCAUCAAAGGACUCAAGAUACAAAGCCCAAGGAGGCAGGAAGAGUUGGACUGUGCAGCAAGCCAAAGGGAAAGGGGGAAUUCUCUCCCAUCUUCCUAUGCAAGCCGAGACUCAGCCGUGCGGGUAGGCGGAGGCCUUCAAAGGUUCCUUCCGCAGUGAUCAUCGGUAACAUCCAGUCAGUACAUCCUGAUCACUCUUACCCAGGGUUAUGUCAGAGUUCUCGGAGACCCCUCCAAGAGAGGUUUUGUUGAUUACAAAUGCUUAAAAAAAAAAAAAGACCCAGUUAAAAACCCUGGCCAUGCAGUCUCAUUAAGAGAGCUGAUUCAACAGACUGGGAUACUAUUGUCACUUCUUCCUGGUAGAGAAGCCUACAGAAAAGUUCAGAUUGAGCUUAAACUUGAAGCCUCUAAACGAAUCUGUCAGAUACAGAAGGUUUAAGAUGGAUUUAACUUCUUUUGGUCAAGAAUCUAUUGACGCCAGACUGUUUUAUGGCGUCUUGAGGGACGCGUACCUGUGCAUCCCUACCUCCCCUCAGUCCAGAGGGUUGGCAGUAAAGUGUAGUGGGAGUGGUUCAUCACCUUAAAUUCAGGGCCCUCUCAUUCGGACUGUCAUUAUCACCUCGUAUUUUUUUCACCAAGGUGGUGGCGGAAGCCCUAGCUCCGCUUCGCCUACUGGGUAUUGCAGUUUGGCUUACCUAGACGACCGUUUUUCUUUGCCCCAUGGAAAGAUAUGUUCCCGAACGAUCUAUUCAGGGCGAGAAGUUGCUCGGAAUCACUGGGCUAGAUUGUGAACCCUCAGGUGUUAUCCCUAGUUCCAUCUCAGGAAGUCUGUUUACUUGGGUUACCAGGUAGAUUCGGUAAACCGGAAAAUGUUUUCCCCUGAGAUCAUGAGAUCACGGUCUCAGUUCCCUGGACUCUCAGAUAAAAAUGCCAUCGCGAGGGAAGAGAUCUCUCUAUUGGUGGAGAUAUCAGAAGAGCCUUCAAAGGGUCUGGAGUGGUCCUUUCCAGUAGGGAAAGGAUUGACUAUGGACGCCAGGAGGAUGAUGGGGAGCUUAAGAAUUUCAUCCAGGGGUCUUGGAUGAAAAAAGAGACAAAGCGAUCCUCAGACUAGAAGGAGCUAAAGGCGAUUACAUUGGCUCUAACAGAGUUGCUCCGGGUCUGCUAAAUCACCAUGUUCAGGUGUCAACGGACUAUGCCACAGCGGUGGUAUACCUAAACAGACAAGGGGGCGCAAGAAGCAGACCUCUGCAGAUUCUUGUGGCUAAAAACUCUUCUCGGAGCAGGAAAGGAAUUGCUGUCCCUAUAAGCGAUACUCUUAGUCACUGAACAGGGUGGCGCAUUACCUGAGCUGAUAUCCGGUUCGGGAAGCAGAGUGUUCUCUGAACCCGGAGAUCUGUUGGGAAAAUUUCCAACUAGCGGGGUCAUCCAGAGCGAGACCUGUUUGCCUCAAGGGGAAAACUCUCAGGUUUUUGCAAUUCUUUUCCAAAAACAGACUGGACGGGUCUGUAACGAUAUUGCGCGCUGGACACGCGACUAGCUGUUGUGUAAGAACCAUACAGCAGCCAUGUUGUUUUAAAACAGUAUAAGCAGUGGAAAGAAACUCACUCCCUCCCUCCCUUAUUCUCAGGAAUUCAUAGGCAUUCUACUUCAAAAGAUCUGUUAUCUCCUCCGAGAAACAGAGCAACCUAGGUUUCUUAAUGUCUCCUGGCAGGGUUCCUGGCCUGUCGUAAAACUGUCGUCCUCUCACCUCAGAGAGUCCACAGACCCCUGUCGUAAAUGCCUUAGACUCAUAAACGCUGAAGACUAAGGAAUAAGUACAUGUGUUUCAUAACUUCCAGCUAACUCAUAGCACAGCCCAACAACAGACAUAUUUAGUUUCCUCAGAUAAUUUGUAACGUUUCGAGCCCAGACAUGAAUAUGAUCAAUCAUACGGAAGGCCCCUGGCCCCCAUUUAUUCAUCAUAGGUAGAUUAACCAUGGUAGACUUGUCACGUUUGGACUUUUCUUAAAGCAAAUAUCACGCUCUACAAUAACACGGAUGUUGGUAGUCUGUAACUAUUAGAACUGCAGAGAUAUGAAUAUGUAUCACAAAGUGUACCUGGGUUAUGGGCGUGAAUGUGGACCCUCCCAGUAACCAGCCCCUAAAUCAGAUGACCAGACAAUUGGUUACUGGUCGUGUCAACACCCCUUUUUGAUGGGACAGAAAAGAGGAGAUGCCAAGUCAAGGGAGUGCUCUUUUUACCAUCCAAGCAAGAGCAUCUGCCAAGUUUGAGAACCGAUUACCCAGUUCAUCGAUCGAACUCUGAUCAACCUUGGACAUUAAUUGCAAGUAUUCUUCUUCUUCAAUUCUACCCUAUUACUUUGUCGCUGUAUAUUGUCGUUAUCUCUUUAAAACAUAUUUUUCUGUAACACUUUAUUGCACCAAGUUUGCCCUUUUCGUAAUAAACCUUUUAUGUUGAAAAG